rnacentral:lncRNA from 1 species
UGGUCAUUUCAUUAAGGUUAAAUUUAAAUUUCUGUGAUCAGGUCCAUUUCUCAGAUACUAUAAGCAUGAUAAGCAGUAGGUCAACUAUAUGUUGUGUAUGGAAGGAUUGUAAGGAGUAUAUGUCAGUAUGACUGGUUUCAUCUGAACUUGACCUCAUUUUCAUUGUUUAUUUGUCAAUGUUUAGUUUUUGUUUUUUGGUCUGUUUUUCAAAUACUGCAUGAUAGUAAUAGGUUAGCUGAUUUGGUUUAUAGGAUAAUUGUCAGGUGUAAAUGUCUG